rnacentral:rRNA from 1 species
UACGGAGGGUGCAAGCGUUAUCCGGAUUCACUGGGUUUAAAGGGAGCGUAGGUGGGAAUGUAAGUCAGUGGUGAAAUCUCCGUGCUUAACACGGAAACUGCCAUUGAUACUAUGUUUCUUGAAUUUUCUGGAGGUUAGCGGAAUAUGUCAUGUAGCGGUGAAAUGCAUAGAUAUGACAUAGAACACCGAUUGCGAAGGCAGCUCACUAAGCAGACAUUGACGCUGAGGCACGAAAGCGUGGGGAUCAAACAGG